rnacentral:rRNA from 1 species
AUUGAACGCUGGCGGCAUGCCUAACACAUGCAAGUCGAACGGUAACAGGCCUAAUACAUCCUUCGGGGUGUUGUGGUGCUGACGAGUGGCGGACGGGUGAGUAAUGCUUAGGAAUCUACCCAGUAGUGGGGGACAACCCGGGGAAACUCGGGCUAAUACCGCGUACGCUCUACGGAGGAAAGCGGGGGAUCUUCGGACCUCGCGCUAUUGGAUGAGUCUAAGUCGGAUUAGCUUGUUGGUGGGGUAAAGGCCUACCAAGGCGACGAUCCGUAGCUGGUCUGAGAGGACGAUCAGCCACACUGGGACUGAGACACGGCCCAG